rnacentral:rRNA from 1 species
GACGAACGCUGACGGCGUGCUUAGCACAUGCAAGUCGAACGGAAAGGCCCUGCUUUUGUGGGGUGCUCGAGUGGCGAACGGGUGAGUAACACGUGAGUAACCUGCCCUUGACUUUGGGAUAACUUCAGGAAACUGGGGCUAAUACCGGAUAGGAGCUCCUGCUGCAUGGUGGGGGUUGGAAAGUUUCGGCGGUUGGGGAUGGACUCGCGGCUUAUCAGCUUGUUGGUGGGGUAGUGGCUUACCAAGGCUUUGACGGGUAGCCGGCCUGAGAGGGUGACCGGCCACAUUGGGACUGAGAUACGGCCCAGACUCCUACGGGAGGCAGCAGUGGGGAAUAUUGCACAAUGGGCGGAAGCCUGAUGCAGCAACGCCGCGUGCGGGAUGACGGCCUUCGGGUUGUAAACCGCUUUCGCCUGUGACGAAGCGUGAGUGACGGUAAUGGGUAAAGAAGCACCGGCUAACUACGUG